rnacentral:lncRNA from 1 species
GUUAUAGGUAUUAUUUAGUAUAACAUAAGUAGCAGUUGUAAUUUGACUCAUAUCUUUCUCAUUAUAGGUCCAGUUUUUAUCCAUAGAACUAUGUACAUGCCUCUAGGAUGGAGUAGAGAAUGGAAGGAGUAGGCAGUUUAUUUGGACUCAUGGAGGUAGAAGAUGGAAUACUUGGUCAUGCCCAGGAGAACAUUUAUUCCAAUGCCUCAACCCCUCAGAAGCAUUGAAUUACCUCCAUAGUAUGAGAAGUAUUAAAGUACUUGGAGAUGUUGCUCUGGCUAUUGUAACAUAACAAACCAGUGAAAUGUGUCCUGUCAACCUGGGCUUGAAGCUGUGCCUUUUGCCUCACAAUACCCCAGAGGAACGAUUAGAGCAUGAUAACAACCAACUUCCUGCUGUGCUGUAUUGCUUUCAUACACUAAUUACAAGAGAAGCGGCAAGAUCUGUUUUUCCUCAAACUUUGCACAUCAAGAAAAAAAUUAGAUUCACCAUUUUAUAGUCUUUGCUAUAGGAGGGAGGAAUGAAGGAGAAGCUUAGAAAGAGAAUCAAAGGAAAUGCUAAAAGAAGAGAGACUAUUCAAGUGGUUUGCUAUCUCUUAUUUUUUAAAGAAGCUGAGUUCAGAAUAGGGCAGGGGUAAUGAAUGUUGUUAUUUUGGGGAGUAAGGAUAAACAAUUAAAAAUUCACAAGCA